ACAAAGGUCUCCGUAGGGUGACUGCGGAGGGAU
rnacentral:rRNA from 1 species